GCUCAUGGCUUCCUUCUGAGCGGGAAGUCAGGGCUCUUGUAUGUAGUUCCUGCCUGUAGGCAUUCAUUCAUUAAUUCAUUUAUCCACUCACCCAUAAAGUGUUGAUUUGUCUCGGGUCUUUUGCUUUUGCAGGUCCCUGUGCCUGGCACAUUGUCUUGUAUUCCUCAGGGCUCUGCUUCCCAUGGUGCCUCUUCCAAGAUGCCUUCCCUGACUACCCCCAGCUAAUUUAGCCUGUUAUACCCUGUUAGCAACUGUACUGCUCUUCAUGAUAAAACAGGAUAGGCUGGUGCUCCCAGGGGCUCUCUCUAUACGUAAGAGAUCUAUUAGCCCAAUGGGCAUUCAUUUCCCUUCUCGUUUUCUUUUGGGAACCAUCCUUUCCUUCUCUUUGUGCAAUUUGUUGAUGUCAGCCCCAUUCCCCAGCUCCACAAAUGAGCACAUCACCCAGGGAAAGCCAAUGAGAGACGGCUGCAGGACUUUUGCUGGAACUACUGGAACGCUGAGUUUUGUGCUGCCGUGGUUGCUUACCUGGUAGGCUGGCAGGCUGGCACUGCCGGGGGAGGAGAGGGCCUGCCUGAAAAUGAAAUCAAUACCGAGGGAAGAAAAGGUGAAAGAAGGAGAGAUGUACAGUCCUGAGAUUGUUGGAGCACCUGGAUCCAGCCAUACCUGAAAUCCAAACUCCCUCCCACUGGACUUUUUCACUGGAAGAAUCAGUAAGUUCCCUUGGUGCUUAAGUUAGUUUGGGUUUCCGUAGCCUCCAAGAUAACAAAGCCUCAAAGAUAUUCAGGCAGCCAAGCUUAGGUACUUUCCCCUUGAGGGAUGUGGGCAGGUGUUUCCCUCGCUCAGAAGUCACGUCCCCUCUAGAGGCUCCUUUUCUACAAGGCCUGAAUGUUUGGGGUUCGCUCCACCUGAGGCAAAAAAGCAGAAGCAAAGUGCGAGGCCAGAGGUGGGGUGCCUACAGAAACAGCCAUGCAACCAGCAUCAGGAAGUGGGGAUCUGCAUUAUUACUGUGCUAACCCAUUUCCCUGCUUCUUGGUAGGCUGAGCCCUGAUUGUCUUAGCUUGUUUAUUAGCUCUGUCCAUGUGUUUCGGGGAGGUGUCUAAGGCAGUCAUAGUUCCCCAGUUUCCCGGUCAGUGACUGGUUCUGGAAGGAGCCGUGACUCACUCCUAGACAAGAACAUGUGAGGAGGAAACAAGGGCUGGCACUGUGGCAGCUAUGUUGCCACCUUAAGGGAAGACACUGCCCACGUGCCGAGGAAUCUUCGUCCGACACCGUUGAACGUGCACACCGUUCACAAGAACACCGUUCAACGGGUGGGCUGACCCCUGUACAACCUCCCUACCUUGGUGAGAUUAGCUGUUUGGGAAAAUAAUAAAGGCCUUUAGUUUUCAAGGUA